rnacentral:rRNA from 1 species
AUUGAACGCUGGCGGCAUGCUUUACACAUGCAAGUCGAACGGUAACAGGCCGCAAGGUGCUGACGAGUGGCGAACGGGUGAGUAAUGCAUCGGGACGUGCCCAGUCGUGGGGGAUAACGCAGCGAAAGCUGUGCUAAUACCGCAUACGAUCUAUGGAUGAAAGCGGGGGACCGGAAGGCCUCGUGCGAUUGGAGCGGCCGAAGGCGGAUUAGGUAGUUGGUGGGGUAAAGGCCCACCAAGCCAACGAUCUGUAGCUGGUCUGAGAGGACGACCAGCCACACUGGGACUGAGACACGGCCCAGACUCCUACGGGAGGCAGCAGUGGGGAAUUUUGGACAAUGGGCGCAAGCCUGAUCCAGCAAUGCCGCGUGCAGGAAGAAGGCCUUCGGGUUGUAAACUGCUUUUGUACGGAACGAAACGGUCUGGGUUAAUACCCUGGGCUAAUGACGGUACCGUAAGAAUAAGCACCGGCUAACUACGUGCCAGCCGCCGCGGUAAUAC